rnacentral:rRNA from 1 species
AUUGAACGCUGGCGGCAUGCCUUACACAUGCAAGUCGAACGGCAGCACGGGGCAACCUGGUGGCGAGUGGCGAACGGGUGAGUAAUGCAUCGGAACGUACCUCUCAGAGGGGGAUAACGUAGCGAAAGUUACGCUAAUACCGCACAUUCUGUGAGCAGGAAAGCAGGGGAUCGCAAGACCUUGCGCUGAGUGAGCGGCCGAUGUCAGAGUAGCUAGUUGGUGAGGAAAAGGCUGACCAAGGCGACGACCUGUAGGGGGUCUGAGAGGAUGGUACACCACACUGGAACUGAGACACGGUCCAGACUACUACGGGAGGCAGCAGUGGGGAAUUUUGGACAAUGGGGGCAACCCUGAUCCAGCCAUGCCGCGUGAGUGAAGAAGGCCUUCGGGUUGUAAAGCUCUUUCGGCCGGGAAGAAAUCGCACGGGCUAAUACCCUGUGUGGAUGACGGUACCGGAAUAAGAAGCACCGGCUAACUACGUGCCAGCCGCCGCGGUAAGAC